UUCAUCGCCUCUGGUCUGUGCAAUUUACCCACAGGCAUGGUUUGAUAUAUUCGGUUUUUAAAUAUUACAAAGACGAUACUGUUUUAGCCUCUGUAUUUUUCUCUCCCUAUUAACAGAACUCUGAUUGAAAAGGCACAAAGCAAAUUCCAUGGUUUCAGAGCGGGCCGAGCUAACCCAGUGAUUUGCAGAAUAUAUGGUGACUGGCAGCAGAUUCUUGUGCUUGUAAAUAAUUACUGAAUAUCAAAGUAAAAAGACACAAACUCCGGGCAUCAGUCCCCAGACAGGUCAGCUCAGAGCCUGUUGAAAUCUCCAGAAAGUGAAACCGUGGGAACCUCCUGCCUGGAAGGAAGAUUCAGCAGCCUAUCCUCAACGCCAAUCCCAGAAACCUUACUUCUCAAUCUCCACGUUAUACAUUCCUCGGUUCCCAUAAAGACAUCCCUAAUCUCGAUUCACAGUCUUUAUGAAACUAUGUCCCAACGCACUGGCAGAGAAAUCUGAGGUUGCAUGGACACAAAUCUUUGAAAUGGCAGUACACAAGAAUUAGUUUGUUUUUAAAAAUAUGUACAAGAUCCUGGUGUUUCAGACGUAAAUGCAGUGAGAUCGCAAAAACAAGGAAGUUGUAAAUCUCUGGCUUGGCCCCAGCUGCAGGGUUUGUGUCUAAUUCUGACUGCUGCAUUCUCAGAAGGAGAGGGUACAGGGGAGAUGGAGCAGACUGAACACUGGGAUUCGGCAUCGCAGUAACAUGAGAGACUGGGAGGAUGGCAACGCUCCCGGGAUACAGCUCCAAGAGGAAUGUGACUGGAAAUGAUGCACAUUCUGAGGUUGGAGUAACAAGGGAGAAACUAUUUCAGGAGACACAGUUACAACAAUUGCUCCGAUCCAGAACACUCAAACCUGCUUGGAGAAACCCACCUCUUUCAAACACUCGAGGUGAAGCCAACUCAACUAAGCCCUGUGACUGUUACUAAGCCCCCACUUACCUCAAUAAUAGUCAGCCAAGAUUGCACUCGGGUUAUUAAUCUCUGCGGAAAUUGUAAUGGAAGCAUCAUAUCCAGACACCAAUUCCUGCUGAGGGAGCAGAGAUGGUGAAGAUUGUACAGCUGCUCAGCAGCAGUGGCAUCAUAAAUUGUUCAGACCCAUGGAUCUCACAACUGACCAGAUUCACAGGCUGAGAGUCGUUUCUUCAUUAAACAGAAAGCUGGAGCAUGACUGGAAUGAGAUCUUUAUGAUGAUAAAAGGAGUUGGAUAGUUUCUAUGAGAGUGUAACCAACUAUCAUCAUUUGAUUUUAAUACCUGGAAACUUUCCUGGACCAAAUGCUUUAAAAAAAGGAAACAAAAUAUUGCCUUAAGAUGGCCACCGGCCACCAUGAAACCAUCCACUAAUAAGAAUCAGAACUGAAAUUGACAAGACUAUAAGAAGGCUUUGAAACUCACUUGUGUCUCUAGCUUGAUUCCAAUUGUUCUGGAAGUUUCAUGUAUGGGAAUGAAAGUCACCUGCAGUUUUAAAAAAGCCAGAAAUGGAAAUGAUUUGUGAGCAGUAUUUCAGCAACAGCAUUUGGGCAGAGAGCAA